GGCGUAGACCGCAGCCCAGACUGGCAUCUCACCCCGCAAUUUUGCCCCUUUCUUCUCUGUGUGCCACUUGCGAGCGGGUCCCGCACUUCAUCCCCUUCCUCCACCCGUGUUCGUCCUGGAGUCCACUCCCAAACCAGAUUCGAUCACUAUCCCCACACCCUAGACCCUGGAAUCCACCUAUAAGGUAUUCCCGAGUCCUCCUCCGCAGAUUUUCGCAAAAUCGGAGUUCUCCUGUGCACUAGAACGGCGGCCCGAUCUCGCCGGAGUCCGCUGAAGCUGAAGCUCCGCUGCCGCCGAUUUCUUCAGCACCGAGGAGACGCCCCAGAGUCGAGCAAACGGAGCUCGCCCAGAAAUCCACUGCCACCGUUGCUCCAGCCUGACCUCACCGACGCUAACAGAAGGACCGGUCGUCCCUGAGGUAGUUUGCGUGUUCGCCGCAUCCCUCCUCACCUCGUAGUAUUUUCCCCUAGCUCGGGAGGCCUCUCCAGCAAGAGCACGCUCAAAAUCCGAGCCAGCCGCACCGUCUUCCUGAACUUCGGCGGCCAUCGAGCCCCUGUCUAUCCGUGACCAUGAGAAUUGAUGCGGAGCAUCCUAUGGACAUCACCAUGUCAAGAGUCCAUUCGGCGAGUGACACGUGCGACAUCUACUUCACAUACAUAAAGGUGAAUCAUCUCCUUUACACGUGAUCACUUGACUCCUUCGAGGAUGGUAUACUACUUGACACUCCACUCAUGUGCAUGUAUAGAUAUUGUCGGAACGCCAUAGACAACGAGGAGGAGUGCAAAUGCAAGUGUACAAAUACACCAUCCAUGAGGGAAGCCUAAAAGUGACAACGGAAGAAGACGGAGCUGCUGAAGCUACAGCGGCCGGACAUCUGGGCGAGAGGCCGGACAUCCGGCGCCUGUGCGGCCGCCCAGGAGCUGCACCAACAGACGGCCAAGAGCUUCAGUGGCCGGACAUCCAGCGCCGGCCCGAACAUCCGGCGCCUCAGCAAUGCCCGGACAUCCGGCGGCCAACCCCGGAAAUCUGGCGACGACUAUCCAGAGAAGACUGGAAUGGCCUGUUCCAAGCCGGACAUCCGGCCCGUGCCCCGGACAUCCGGCCUCCCGCGAAUGGGCGGACAUCCGUCCCUGAUACGUCUCCAACGUAUCUAUAAUUUUUGAUUGUUCCCUGCUAUUAUAUUAUCAACCUCGGAUGUUUUAUAUGCAUUUAUAUGC